rnacentral:rRNA from 1 species
UACAGAGGUCCCAAGCGUUGUUCGGAUUCACUGGGCGUAAGGGGUGCGUAGGCGGUCGGGUAAGUCUGAUGUGAAAUCUCACAGCUUAACUGUGAAACUGCAUUGGAUACUAUCCGGCUCGAGGAAUGGAGGGGAGACUGGAAUACUUGGUGUAGCAGUGAAAUGCGUAGAUAUCAAGUGGAACACCAGUGGCGAAGGCGAGUCUCUGGACAUUUCCUGACGCUGAGGCACGAAAGCCAGGGGAGCAAACGGG